CUCCCCGUCUCUUCCCUGGCCUUGCCCUCUCUCUUCCUGCCUCGUAGCCGUGGGCGUCCAAAUGAAGCUGGAAUUCCUCCAGCGCAAAUUCUGGGCGGCAACACGGCAGUGCAGCACUGUGGAUGGGCCGUGCACACAGAGCUGCGAGGACAGUGAUCUGGACUGCUUCGUCAUCGACAACAACGGGUUCAUUCUGAUCUCCAAGAGGUCCCGAGAGACGGGAAGAUUUCUGGGGGAGGUGGAUGGUGCUGUCCUGACCCAGCUGCUCAGCAUGGGGGUGUUCAGCCAAGUGACCAUGUAUGACUAUCAGGCCAUGUGCAAACCCUCGAGUCACCAUCACAGUGCAGCCCAGCCCCUGGUCAGCCCAAUUUCUGCCUUCUUGACGGCGACCAGGUGGCUGCUGCAGGAGCUGGUGCUGUGAGUGGGGGUAGACACGGGGCUGGUGGAGGGCUGCAUGCGAGGGUGGCUUAGGAGGGUGUCCUUGAGCAGGAGGCUGCAAGGUCUCCAGGACAACCCACUUGCUACCAGACCCUGGGGAAGGAGGGCACAAUCCCUGGGCAUGGACACCACCUCUUCCCUGCAUGCUGCCCCUGGGA
rnacentral:sRNA from 1 species